GCAAAAACAUCGUUUAAAAUUAUUUUAAAUAUAAUCUGCCCACUGAUUUAUUUUAAAUGGCCGCAGUAUCCUGACUGUGCUAAGGUAGCAUAAUCAUUAGUUUUUUAAUUAAAAACUCGUAUGAAUGAUCUGACGAUAGAUAAACUGUCUUUAUUCUAUUCAAUAAAUUUACCUAUUAGGUUAAAAGGCCUAAAAAAUUUAGAAUGACGAUAAGACCCUAUAAAACUUUAUUUUAAAAUUAAGAAAAAUUAAGAAUUUAUAUAAAUUAAAUAAAAAUUUUGCUGGGGCGGCUAUUAAUUUAACGUUAAUUAAUUUAAACAUUUUGAAUGAUCUUAUAAACCUAAAUUAAAAAUUAAUAAUAAGUUACUUUAGGGAUAACAGCGCAAUACUACUUUAGAGCUCUUAUCGACAGUAGAGUUUGCGACCUCGAUGUUGAAUUGAAAAUCCUUUUUAAAGCAACAUUUAAAAAAGUAAGUCUGUUCGAC
rnacentral:rRNA from 1 species